rnacentral:rRNA from 1 species
UCUCAGUUCAGAUUGCAGGCUGCAACUCGCCUGCAUGAAGUCGGAAUUGCUAGUAAUCGUAGGUCAGCAUACUACGGUGAAUACGUUCCCGGGCCUUGUACACACCGCCCGUCAAACCAUGAGAGUUGGCAACACCCGAAGUCGGUAGUCUAACCGCAAGGAGGACGCCGCCGAAGGUGGGGUCGAUGAUUAGGGUUAAGUCGUAACAAGGUACC